AUGAAGUUUUAUUCUUGCUUAAAUAUUAUUUAUUUUUAAUUUACUUUAUAUGUAAGUUUUUGCGUAAUUUAUUAUAGUAUUUCUAGAUGAAUACUUUAGAUUUAAUUAUUCGCAGUAAUGGAUAUUAUAAAUUGAUGAAAAUUAGAUUUGGUAAUUUUGAUUUAUUAUUGGAUAAAUUUGUGCCAGCAUCCGCGGUUAUACAAUGAAUAUAAAUAAAUAUUUUUGGUUAAAAUAGUUAUAAUUUACUAGUUUGAAAUUGUAUUAUUAUUUGUUAGGUGAAAUUUUAAUGAUUAAUAUAAUUUUAUUUUUUGAGGCUAUGAAAUCUAUUUAUUUAAACUAGGAUUAGAUACCCUAUUAUUUUAGAUGUAAAUUAUAUUAACCUAGGUAGUAUUAGUUAUGGUCUUGAAACUUAAAGAAUUUGGCGGUAUUUUAGUCUAUUUAGAGGAAUCUGUUCCAUAAUCGAUAGUUCACGUUGUACCUUACCAAAUUUAUGUAUGUAUACCGCCGUUAUAUAUGAAAAUCUUUUUAGAGAUUAAAAAUUUUCUAGAUUUGUUUUUAAAAUUUAUUUCAGGUCAAGGUGCAGCAAUAUUUUGGUGGAAAUGGAUUACUAUUAUAUUAAAUAUUGGAUUAUUCUUUGUAAUUUUGAAUAUGAAAUUGGAUUUAAUUGUAAUUUUUUGAAGAUUGUAAUUAUGAUUAUAGCUCUAUAAUAUGUACACAUCGCCCGUCGCUCUCAUUAUUAUUUUAAUUGAGAUAAGUCGUAACAUAGUGGUUGUACCGGAAGGUGUAGCUGGAAUGAU
rnacentral:ncRNA from 1 species